rnacentral:rRNA from 1 species
UUAAAAUGUAAUUAAAAAAAUUAAGGUAGUAGUAGUUAUGUUCUUGAAACUUAAAAAAUUUGGCGGUAUUUUAGUCUAUUCAGAGGAACCUGUUCUAUAAUCGAUAAUCCACGAUGGACCUUACUUAAAUUUGUAAUCAGUUUAUAUACCGUCGUUAUUAGAAUAUUUUAUAAGAAUGUUAAUUUUCAUAAUUUUUAAAAAGAAAAUAUAUCAGAUCAAGGUGUAGCUUAUAUUUAAGUAGAAAUGGGUUACAAUAAAUUUAUUUAAACGAAUAUAAAUUUGAAAUAUUUAUUGAAGGUGGAUUUGAUAGUAAAAUUAUAAAGAUUAAUAAUUUGAUU